GCUUAACACCGAGAACAUACUGCUUAAAGGCAGAGCGGUGGCGAAGUGAAACGAGCCAUCACGCAUACAUAAAGUGAUUAUCAAGCAAAAUGUUUUGGGUGUUGAGCUUUGGAUAGUGGCGAACGGGUGAGUAACGCGUAGGCAAUCUGCCUUCUAGAUGGGGACAACAUCCCGAAAGGGGUGCUAAUACCGAAUGUUGUACCGUUUCCGCAUGGAGAUGAUACUAAAGGUGGCCUCUGAAUAUGCUACCGCUAGAAGAUGAGCCUGCGUCUGAUUA
rnacentral:rRNA from 1 species